GACCACGGUAGAGAUAUAGUUUCCCCUUCGGGGGCAACGGUGACAGGUGGUGCAUGGUUGUCGUCAGCUCGUGUCGUGAGAUGUUGGGUUAAGUCCCGCAACGAGCGCAACCCUUGAUCUUAGUUGCCAUCAUUUAGUUGGGCACUCUAAGGUGACUGCCGGUGACAAACCGGAGGAAGGUGGGGAUGACGUCAAAUCAUCAUGCCCCUUAUGACCUGGGCUACACACGUGCUACAAUGGACGAUACAAACGGUUGCCAACUCGCGAGAGGGAGCUAAUCCGAUAAAGUCGUUCUCAGUUCGGAUUGUAGGCUGCAACUCGCCUACAUGAAGCCGGAAUCGCUAGUAAUCGCGGAUCAGCAUGCCGCGGUGAAUACGUUCCCGGGCCUUGUACACACCGCCCGUCACACCACGAGAGUUUGUAACACCCGAAGUCGGUGAGGUAACCUUUGGAGCCAGCCGCCGAAUGUUU
rnacentral:rRNA from 1 species